CAGUCGCCGCGGGAAUACGGAGGGUGCAAGCGUUAAUCGGAAUUACUGGGCGUAAAGCGCACGCAGGCGGUUUGUUAAGUCAGAUGUGAAAUCCCCGAGCUUAACUUGGGAACUGCAUUUGAAACUGGCAAGCUAGAGUCUUGUAGAGGGGGGUAGAAUUCCAGGUGUAGCGGUGAAAUGCGUAGAGAUCUGGAGGAAUACCGGUGGCGAAGGCGGCCCCCUGGACAAAGACUGACGCUCAGGUGCGAAAGCGUGGGGAGCAAACAGGAUUAGAGACCCGAGUAGUCCCUGUCUCUUAUAC
rnacentral:rRNA from 1 species